UUGUUUCCCGUAGGUUAAAUAUUAACUCAGCGUCUUUCCGCCCUGCUGACAAACCAAGAAGGAUUAAUUUACUGCAGAGAAACUGGCUCAGUGAACAGGGAGGGAAAAAACUAAUUCACAUGUAAGGGUAACGGAUUGUGGUCUGGGUUCUGUCACCAUGGCCUCUUCAUCGCCACAUGAACCAGAUCUGUACAACGUGUCACAAUCAGAUUAUGAAUCUGAUGAUGAUGUCACAGCAGAGCGGGACAACUUCAAACGCCAAAACUG